rnacentral:rRNA from 1 species
UCGGAAUUGCUAGUAAUCGCGGAUCAGCAUGCCGCGGUGAAUACGUUCCCGGGCCUUGUACACACCGCCCGUCACACCAUGGGAGCCGGUAAUACCCGAAGUCAGUAGUCCAACCUCGUGAGGACGCUGGCCGAAGGUAGGAUUGGCGACUGGGGUGAAGUCGUAACAAGGUACC